GACGAACGCUGGCGGCGUGCUUAACACAUGCAAGUCGAACGGGCCCGCUCUCUUUUUUGGGGGUGGGUUGAGUGGCGAACGGGUGAGUAUCACGUGAGUAACCUGCCCCCUGCUCCUGGAUAACUGCUUGAAAGGGCGGCUAAUACGGGGUGUGCCGGCUGGUCCGCAUGGGCCUGGUCGGGGUAGCUUCAUCUGCGGGUGGUUCGGUGGGGGAUGGGCUCGCGGCCGAUCGGCUUGUUGGUGGGGUGAUGGCCCACCAAGGCGGUGACGGGUAGCCGGGCUGAGAGGGUGCGCGGCCACGCUGGGACUGAGCCACGGCCCGGACUCCUGCGGGAGGCGGCAGUGGCGGGUGUUGCACGUUGGGCGGAAGCCUGAUGCAGCGGCGUCGCGUGAGGGAUGGAGGCCUUCGGGUUGUGAACCUCUUUCUCCGGUGGUGAAGGCCCUGUCCGUUGCGGCGGGGUUGACGGUAGCCGGGUAUGAAGCGCCGGCUAACUACGUG
rnacentral:rRNA from 1 species